GCCUGUAGCUCAGUGGAUAGAGCGUCUGUUUCGUUAUCAGAAAGUCAUUGGAUUGACCCCCAUUUCGGAUG